rnacentral:lncRNA from 1 species
UUUCUUUAGCUUAGCAUUUAUUUUUGCAAAUUUUAAUUCAUUUGGUGAUGUAAUUUGUUAUCAUUGGUUUGUAGCUUGGCAAAGGGGCCAUAGAAUGUAUUUAGGCAAUUUUUGUAAUAUGGACUAUGGACACUAUGACGCACCGGCACGCACACACUCACCUUAGAUGUAUGCAUAGGAUUGUAUGGUUAGAUGAAUGCUUAGGCUUAAACACUUAGAUAAAAAUCAACUUUUUUCCAAAACAUGCAAAUAACACUUGAAAACCUUUUUGAAAAUAAAAUGGAGUCAAAACUCCUUAUUUCCCCCUUUAUUUUCUUAAGUAAAAUUUUCAAUAAAUCUUAAUCCUCCUUGGACUUUAUUUUUGCAAAAUGACUAAUUCCACCUCACACUUUCCAAAUCUUAUGCCCUU